AAUGACCAUGGUUUUGGUGUGCUUGACUGGCCAUCAAAAUCACCAGACCUGAACCUCAAAGAAAUCUAUGGGAUAUUGUCAAGAGGAAAAUGAUAAACAAGAGACCAAAUGCAGAUGAGCUGAAGGCCACUGUCAAAGAAACCUGCACUCUAAAAAACGAUUCGUUGGCUGAACAACCAUUACUUAUAAAAAUAAAUAAACUAAACACAAAUAACAAAGUAAUUUUAACUUUCCAACCUCUACUUAGCAUAUAUAGUGUCUGUAACAUAAAUAUAUAAGUUACAAGGUGAACCUAAGUGUAUGCCUAAAUAUAAUGAAAAAACAUAAGUCACGUCAACUAGUAUUAAAAUUGCAUCAAAACUAAGUAACUAUAACAUAAUAUUUUAAGUAUAUGACUGAGCCACGUGAUAUGCAAAAAAAAACUGGAUCCAUCUGGUGAUGCACAUGUGAAGACGGUGGAAAGGGGUAAGCUUAACUUUCUAUAAACUAAGCAAAAUAUUUGAUUUUGAGGUUUUGACAUUAAUAAACACUUGUUUGUAGUGUUAGGUGAAGAUAUUUUCUGAAACGCAAAGAGGCGAAGACGCUGAAAAGAGUUCAGAGCAAGAAAGUGUUGCAAAGGGGGCAGCAUGAAGGAAGUGUCAUGUUGGAAGUGAACUUUCAUUUGUUAAUAUGACACAUUUGUUGUACAUUCAUGAAGUAUGGUUUUAGGCUUCACCAUUGCAUUGCAGCCUGUUUCAAAAAAUAAAGUGAAAUGCUUUAUUUUG